UUUUUAUGAACGUUGAUAAAAAAAUUCUCGCUCGGUCAAAAAUCUUAUAAAUGGAAUACAAGAUCCUCUGUAACUAAAUUUUCCUUGAAAAAUAAAAAUAUUAAAAAUACAUAGGUAAGACUUUACAAUGUUACAAAAGGUUCCUGAUAAAUAACCCAAGGUUAUAUAGAUAUAAAUUGAAGCGACAACGACAAAGUACUCGUUUGAUACGUCGAUUGCGAUUUACAACGAAAAAAGAAACCACAAAUCAUACGUGAAAAAAUAUAUUCUAUUAAUUAAUAAACACAUUACCGGAUCACAUACUUAUAUAUAUACAGACGCCUCAAAAACAGACAAAAGGGGCACUGCGGAAUAACUGGCAAUGAAAGAGCAGACAUACGUGCCAAG